rnacentral:rRNA from 1 species
UACGUAGGGAGCGAGCGUUAACCGGAUUUAUUGGGUGUAAAGGGUGCGUAGACGGGUAAUCAAGUUAGUUGUGAAAUCCCUCGGCUUAACUGAGGAACUGCAACUAAAACUGAAUAUCUUGAGUGCAGGAGAGGUAAGUGGAAUUCCUAGUGUAGCGGUGAAAUGCGUAGAUAUUAGGAGGAACACCAGUGGCGAAGGCGACUUACUGGACUGUAACUGACGUUGAGGCACGAAAGCGUGGGGAUCGAAC